rnacentral:rRNA from 1 species
AGUGAACGCUGGCGGUAGGCCUAACACAUGCCAGUCGAACGGCAGCACAGUAAGAGCUUGCUCUUACGGGUGGCGAGUGGCGGACGGGUGAGGAAUACAUCGGAAUCUACUUUUUCGUGGGGGAUAACGUAGGGAAACUUACGCUAAUACCGCAUACGACCUACGGGUGAAAGCAGGGGAUCUUCGGACCUUGCGCGAUUGAAUGAGCCGAUGUCGGAUUAGCUAGUUGGCGGGGUAAAGGCCCACCAAGGCGACGAUCCGUAGCUGGUCUGAGAGGAUGAUCAGCCACACUGGAACUGAGACACGGUCCAGACUCCUACGGGAGGCAGCAGUGGGGAAUAUUGGACAAUGGGCGCAAGCCUCAUCCAGCCAUACCGCGUGGGUGAAGAAGGCCUUCGGGUUGUAAAGCCCUUUUGUUGGGAAAGAAAAGCAGCAGGUUAAUACCCCGCUGUUCUGACGGUACCCAAAGAAUAAGCACCGGCUAACUUCGU